AUCCAAGGUGAUUCACUCUCCAAGGGGCCAACUAGCACCAUUCUCAGGACCGUGGCAACUUGGAAGAAAAUUUGGCAUGCCUAAGGUCUUUGGGGAGCAAGGGAGGCACAUUUCCCUUGUGUCACUUUAGCUGUUUGUUUAG
ensembl:snoRNA